rnacentral:rRNA from 1 species
UACGUAGGCAGCGAGCGUUGUUCGGAGUUACUGGGCGUAAAGGGUGUGUAGGCGGUUGUUUAAGUUUGGUGUGAAAUCUCCCGGCUCAACUGGGAGGGUGCGCCGAAUACUGAAUGACUUCGAGUGCGGGAGAGGAAAGUGGAAUUCCUGGUGUAGCGGUGAAAUGCGUAGAUAUCAGGAAGAACACCAAUGGCGAAAGCAGCUUUCUGGGACGGUACUGACGCUGAGACGCGAAAGCGUGGGGAGCGAACAGG